GACGCAGCCACACGGGAACUGAGACACGGCCGAUCCUAACGGGAGGCAGCAGCAAGAUCUCCGCAAUGGGCGAAGCUGACGGAGCACGCCGCGUGUGGGAUGACGCCUUUCGGGGUGUAAACCACUUUUCUCAGGGAAGAAGCACUGACGGUACUGAGAAGAAGGACCGGCUAACUACGUGCCAGCAGCCGCGGUAAUACGUAGGUCCGAGCGUUGUCCGGAGUUACUGGGCGUAAAGCGCACGUAGGCGGCCUGUUAAGUGAGUAGUGAAAUCUCCAGCGCUCAACGCGGAAAUAGCUUCUCAUACUGGCAGGCUUGAGGGAUGCAGAGGUAAGUGGAAUUCCCGGUGUAACGGUGACAUGUGUUGAUAUCGGGAGGAACACCCAUGGCGAAGGCAGCUUACUGGGCAUUUCCUGACGCUGAGGUGCGAAAGCGUGGGUAGCAAACAGAAUUAGAUACUCUGGUAGUCCACGCCCUAAACGAUGGAUACUAGGCGUAAGAGGUAUCGACCCCUCUUGUGCCGCAGCUAACGCAUUAAGUAUCCCGCCUGGGGAGUACGGCCGCAAGGUUGAAACUCAAAUGAAUUGACGGGGACCCGCACAAGCGGUGGAGCAUGUGGAUUAAUUCGAUACUAACCGAAGAACCUUACCUAGGC
rnacentral:rRNA from 1 species